CGCGUAGGCGGCUUGGCAAGUUGGAUGUGAAAGCCCAGGGCUCAACCCUGGAAUUGCAUUCAAGACUGCCUUGCUUGAAUUCGGUAGAGGUGAGUGGAAUUCCCAGUGUAGAGGUGAAAUUCGUAGAGAUUGGGAAGAACACCGGUGGCGAAGGCGGCUCACUGGACCGACAUUGACGCUGAGGCGCGAAAGCGUGGGGAUCAAACAGGAUUAGAUACCCUGGUAGUCCACGCCGUAAACGAUGCAUGCUAGACGUUGGAAACUUCGGUUUCUUGUGUCGCAGCUAACGCACUAAGCAUGCCGCCUGGGGAGUACGGCCGCAAGGUUGAA
rnacentral:rRNA from 1 species